CCUACGGGGGGCAGCAGUGGGGAAUAUUGGACAAUGGGGGGAACCCUGAUCCAGCCAUGCCGCGUGUGUGAAGAAGGCCCUCGGGUUGUAAAGCACUUUCAGUGAGGAAGAACGCCUGGUGGUUAAUACCCAUCAGGAAAGACAUCACUCACAGAAGAAGCACCGGCUAACUCCGUGCCAGCAGCCGCGGUAAUACGGAGGGUGCGAGCGUUAAUCGGAAUUACUGGGCGUAAAGCGCGCGUAGGUGGCUUGAUAAGCCGGUUGUGAAAGCCCCGGGCUCAACCUGGGAACGGCAUCCGGAACUGUCAAGCUAGAGUGCAGGAGAGGAAGGUAGAAUUCCCGGUGUAGCGGUGAAAUACGUAGAGAUCGGGAGGAAUACCAGUGGCGAAGGCGGCCUUCUGGACUGACACUGACACUGAGGUGCGAAAGCGUGGGUAGCAAACAGGAUUAGAUACCCUUGUAGUC
rnacentral:rRNA from 1 species